GGCGCCGUGGCUUAGUUGGUAAAAGAGACUGUUUAGUAAAUAGGCGAUCCUGGGUUCAAUUCCCAGCGGUGCCU